rnacentral:lncRNA from 1 species
UGUUUAUUGAUGCUACAGAGAAAAAGAAAAAAAAAUUAAAGCAAGUUCACUAAAUCAGUGGAUGUGAGUGGAAACCCUCCCUGGGCCAUGAAUCACGCAGAGGCCCUGGCGUGAGACGCCCGCCACCCACCACCCCUCUGCUGCUCCCAGGCCUCCUUUUUCGAAUACGGAUCAAAUCUGUUAAUGCCUGACAUUGGCUGUAAACCAGCUGUCCAUCAGCGGCCACGGGGCAGAUUUGUUAUGACUGAAGGGAUUCUGGGACCGUCUCUGGGAAAAGCACACGGGGCUCGAAAAGUUAGCAAACGCUCGCAGAGCAGUUCAUUUGUCACGCUCUCACCAACUGGAAGGCAAAGGGCGCAUUAUGAGGUCACAAAACAACGACUUCCCUGUUGGGUCUCAGCAACAGCUUGUCAUUUGUAGCGUGCUUUGGAAGGAGUGAAAUGCCCCGAAGGUUGCGGAACAACAUCCAUGCUAAUCUGAGCGUCCUUGCGAGUGCAUUAGAAGUCUCUAAACUAUCUGGAGAGUGUCGUAGGUUGUGUGUUCCCACUGUGCUGCAAACCUGCCCUAUGCCUGUUCAGUGUGGACUUGCACUCCUUCCAUUUCCCAGGGGCCGUUUUGAACCAGGGCCAAAAGUUUUGCAGUGGGUCAAAAGUGUGCACUCCUCCUCCCACUAACCCACAGGCGGGUGCCCUGCUCACCCCACACCAGAGGCAGACCCUGCUGGAGGACUGAGGUUAGCGCACACCGCUAAUCAGCACUGAAGCCAGGGCAGUGCCGUAUGAUGGGCCCUUCCUGAUUUCCCAGCAAACUAGCACGGUUCCCCAGAGCACGGCCGUACAAAUGAAUGUACACACACACACACAUAUGCAUACAUUCUCCAUAGAUGAUGGGCCCGUUCCCUGAUUUCCCUACGCAAACUAAGCACGGUUCCCCACGAGCACGGCCGUACAAAUAGAAUGUACACACACACACACAUAUGCAUACAUUCUCCAUAGAUACAGCUCAUUCAUAUUGCUCGUGUUUGUUUGCUUUGGCAGGACGCGUCAGGGAAAACGUUAUGCCUUCUCUAAAGAGCUGAACCUUAAGGGCCCCAAAAACAUAAAGAUGUGAUCUGAGCCCUGUAAAACUGAAGAAAAUUUGGCUUUAGUGUACAAUUACCUGGUUUACCUCAGAGAGAUAAGAGUCUGCUGCUAGUUGGCGGUCCUGACCUGGGGUCCCCCUUGCUUUUCAGCGGCCGUGUGGUUUCGGUGAGGAGGGACGCUAACCGAAUGCAACUGGUAGCUAGCGUGCUGGAAUGAAUGUGGUGACAGGGCUAGUAAUUACCCACAGAAUGAAGGGCCGCAAUUGCUUAAGCCUAUUCAGGUGCUAAGCUCACUAUAUUAAAAAAAUAUGGCGAAGUGUGCUUGUUUCUUUAACUUGUAAUUUUAAAAAACAUGAUGUUGCAUUGUAGGGUUUUUAGGGUUUUGCAGAGUACAAACCACAUGCCAUCCCACUAAAAUAUGGUAAUGAUACAGGAAAAUGUUUAUGACGGUAAAAAUAUGUAUUAUUUGUCUUUCUUUCGUUCCUUCCUGUGUUAGGAGGCCAUUUUAUAUGUUUCUCAAAAUGCACCACAGAGGAUGGCCAACACCCGUUUCUAUCUUUAGAUGGGGGAAUCCACCCAAAGCUGUCACUCAUGUGGUCAAAUCUCUAAGAAAAAAAGGUAAUGUGAGAGAGCACAGUCUAAUUCAGUUAAUACCUUAAUUUAUACAGAAUUAGAAAUUGAGAACAUCAGCCAUUUUCUCAAUGAAAGCAUACAAAUUUAUUAAGAUCAAAAAAUGUUCUGAUUUUAAUUAUAUCAGAGAGAAAAUGUCAGGGAAACGUAACGCAUAUGUACAACUGCAAAUAUGCAGCAUUUCUUAGAAAACAAGCACAAGGCUAAAGAUUUAUCUACUUCUGGACUUGACUCGCUGCUUAAUUUUUCUUGGACUCCACCUAUGUUUUUCCAAGUGCCGGGAACUAUGCAUAAAAAGGUCAAAGAAAUAAUGGUUUGAAAAAAAACUGUGUGUAUUAAAUUUUUGUAAUACUAAAUUACAGCCUAAAAAAGGGGAAAAUACGAAAAGCAGAGAUUAAUGGACUCAGUCCUGUGCUUUGUAUAUCUCACUGGCACUCAGUAAAGAAACACUUUAUAAAUCACACUAGACAUGUGAAGGAUUAUUAGUGCAACAUGCUUUGUUUCUUGGUUUGUAUUAUUGCCAAAUCUUUAAGUACCUGCACUACCCUACUUUAAUCUGUUUUUAAAAAGCCACCGAAGACAUUUAAUAGUAUUAUUUUUUCAGUGUGGUUUUAGAAUGGUGUGCUGUUGUUAAAAAAAAGAAGAAGAAGAAGAAGAGGGGAGAAAAAACUGGAGACUGAAUGUACACAGAGUGGCGGACUGUGAUUUAAAAUCACUCCACUAACUAUUUACUGUGAAGGAAUAACAAAUUGUUAAGAAACUACCAAUGUCUUCGAUGGCUGGAGUGUUUAGUGAAAAACAUCUCACUUAAUCAGCUUCAUGUCUGGAAAAACAUGCUGGCCUGAGUCAAUAUACUUACAGACUGGGUAUGGAUGUUUAUUUUUGAUGAUAAAUAGCCCAAAUGCAUAAGCACAUAAACACAAAUAAAUAUUCGACUCACACUGUUGCCCUUCAAGACUCGAGAUCUGUGUUUCAUCAAGAGAAAAUUUUCAAUAUAACCAAAAAAGAGUGCUCUUACAGGCAAGACACUGGCAUGUGGCCAGCCUCACAAAUCAUAUUUAAGUAGCUUAUACCUUUAAAAGAGACUAAGCUGUAAUUAUUCAUUUAAAUAUGUAUGCAGUAUACCUGUCCAUUCCUCACACACAGGAAAACACGCACAUCUGUAUUUGUAGUUUUCAUUUAAUUCCUCUUGCAUAAAAACCCUUCAUGUGGAUAGAUGUUAUGGCCCAUUAGCAGGAGAGAGCACAGAAACUGAAAUGCUUGUUCGGUUAAUGAAUUUUGACUACUGUAAUUCAUGGAAAUCAUUUGCUUGUUUUCGGGGCAGAAAAAUGCAUUUUAAUAGUGCCAAUAAUUAUAAUAAGAAUAAUUAAUAUUGUUAUAUAUUAUUUAGUGCUGUCAAAUGAUUAAUCGCAUCCAAAAUAAAAGUUUUUAUUUACAUAAAAUAUCUGUGUGUACUGUGUUUAUUAUGUAUAAUAAAGACACACACAUAGGC